UACGUAGGGAGCAAGCGUUAUCCGGAUUUACUGGGUGUAAAGGGCGUGUAGGCGGGAGUGCAAGUCAGAUGUGAAAACUAUGGGCUCAACCCAUAGCCUGCAUUUGAAACUGUACUUCUUGAGUACUGGAGAGGCAGGCGGAAUUCCGUGUGUAGCGGUGAAAUGCGUAGAUAUACGGAGGAACACCAGUGGCGAAGGCGGCCUGCUGGACAGCAACUGACGCUGAGGCGCGAAAGCGGGGGGAGCAAACAGG
rnacentral:rRNA from 1 species